CGGAGCUACCAUGCAAGCUGAGCGGUAGAGAUCUUUCGGGAUCUUGAGAGCGGCGUACGGGUGCGGAACACGUGUGCAACCUGCCUUUAUCAGGGGGAUAGCCUUUCGAAAGGAAGAUUAAUACUCCAUAAUAUAAUUUACGGCAUCGUGAAUUAUUGAAAACUCCGGUGGAUAGAGAUGGGCACGCGCAAGAUUAGAUAGUUGGUGAGGUAACGGCUCACCAAGUCGAUGAUCUUUAGGGGGCCUGAGAGGGUGAUCCCCCACACUGGUACUGAGACACGGACCAGACUCCUACGGGAGGCAGCAGUGAGGAAUAUUGGACAAUGGGUUAGCGCCUGAUCCAGCCAUCCCGCGUGAAGGACGACGGCCCUAUGGGUUGUAAACUUCUUUUGUACAGGGAUAAACCUAUCUACGUGUAGAUAGCUGAAGGUACUGUACGAAUAAGCACCGGCUAACUCCGUGCCAGCAGCCGCGGUAAUACGGAGGGUGCAAGCGUUAUCCGGAUUUAUUGGGUUUAAAGGGUCCGUAGGCGGAUGCGUAAGUCAGUGGUGAAAUCUCACAGCUCAACUGUGAAACUGCCAUUGAUACUGCGUGUCUUGAGUAAGGUAGAAGUAGCUGGAAUAAGUAGUGUAGCGGUGAAA
rnacentral:rRNA from 1 species